AGCAAUGUGGCACAGUGGUUUGAGCGUUGGUCUAUGACUCUGAAGACCAGGGUUUGAUUCCCAGCAUGGCCA